UGGGGAAUAUUGGACAAUGGGCGCAAGCCUGAUCCAGCCAUGCCGCGUGUGUGAAGAAGGCCUUUUGGUUGUAAAGCACUUUAAGCGAGGAGGAGGCUACUUGGAUUAAUACUCUAGGAUAGUGGACGUUACUCGCAGAAUAAGCACCGGCUAACUCUGUGCCAGCAGCCGCGGUAAUACGGAGGGUGCGAGCGUUAAUCGGAUUUACUGGGCGUAAAGCGUGCGUAGGCGGCUUUUUAAGUCGGAUGUGAAAUCCCUGAGCUUAACUUAGGAAUUGCAUUCGAUACUGGGAAGCUAGAGUAUGGGAGAGGAUGGUAGAAUUCCAGGUGUAGCGGUGAAAUGCGUAGAGAUCUGGAGGAAUACCGAUGGCGAAGGCAGCCAUCUGGCCUAAUACUGACGCUGAGGUACGAAAGCAUGGGGAGCAAACAGG
rnacentral:rRNA from 1 species